ACAGUUUCGCGCGACGAUAACGUGAGAGCAAGCGGCGGUAGUCAACAGAGUCGGGCUAGAAAACAAGACGAGUUACGAAAAUGGGUGAAACGGUUACACUAUUCGGUUAUCGGCGAGCGCGAAACCGCGAACCGUGUCGUCACGGAGAGUGCCGUUAUCUAUGAGGGAGAAAUAUUUACGCGUCUCUCGAUUAUUAUUGGAAUACGGCGAGAAAAAUGCACGGACGAUAUUGAGCUUCUUGCGAGCUUAUCUGCCUAGAGUCACGCGAAUCGUCGUAUCGUUCUACCGAACACGACUUUGUUAUCACCUAAACGGUCUAUCGCGAGAAGACACUGUGUUCCUUAAGGCUGAGAAGCGUAACGCCUGUUACAAUGUCUCGCGGCGAUAUUGUGUGCACUGUGUGUUAGCGACAUAUUUCCCGGUAAUUCAAAUUAUUGGAAAGCGCCGUUCGCGACAACAACGCUUCGACGCGUGCCGGAUAAUAGAAAAAUUGCCUCGAGGCUCUUUGGACAAAUUCAAGCAAACCGGAAAACUGAUGCAGUCAUUUUAUAAAUAUCAAAAGAUAAGUUCAUUAAAAGAUACGUCCGAGCUGAAAGUUAACUUAAAAUCAUAAAUAGUAUGCAUUGAAGAAAGCAAAGCAUCAUUGAAAGUAUAGUUAGAUAUUAAAGCCGGACAGCCAAGUGUGCGAAUAAUUCAGAGAUCGACGAAUAUCGUUAAAGCCGCGCGAAACGCCAUCCUGUGUGUAUUACAUUUUCCUCUUUCCUCGACGCGCGGUAGUAGCAUUUCCUCUUGAGUUACGUGAUCGAAACAACGUUUAUUCGCGAGCGCGCGUCGAGAGAUAACAUCACUCUCGCUUCCACACAUCGCGGCGGAUUACUGACUGAAACGGGCGGAGCGCCGACGAAAAAAAAAAAAAUAAUAAAAGCACGUUCGGUACGAUAAUCAUACAUUAAACAGCGAGAUAAAAGAAUACAAGAGAUCACGGGGUGUGUCAGACGUAGCCAGAUCCUGGCCCAUUCAUCUGGAUGAAACACCGAGCGAACGUUAUCUGCCCGCGAGAACAAUGCGCCUCCCCGUGCACGUGGAUGCACGCGUUGCAUAAACAGCAUCGAGUUCGGGGCUUUCCUCUUUGAAGUGCGAUAAAACGAUGCGGAAAGAAGUCGAUCAGACGAUUCCCUAAGGAUAUGACGAGUGGUCUUAUUUUCAACUAAUCAUUGUUCAAUCAUCACGGAUGCUAAGUUCUUGAGAGAGAACGUGAUUGGAAGCUAGAAAGAUUGCUUAAUACAAAGGAGGACGAAAGGCCUUUUAACCAGCGUUAACAUUGACCAACAUUUGCACGAUAAAGAUAAGAAGCUCAAUAAUAAUUAAGAUGAAGUAACGAGCCUGCGUAUCGAUGAGCAUUUUGAUAGCACGACUACUAGUAAUUCACAUCGCCAUCAUCGUCUGGACAAUGGCCUCGUGCGGCUGAUGACGGUCACUGACGACGAAGAGAGAUCAAUGACUUGUGCAAAGAAAUCCGAAGACUUAUAACGUCCUUUUUUCGUUCUUGCAUUAGAGAAUUUUCGGCUGAGAAUAUAAUAUCAUUCAGGCGGAUGUAGGAUGAUCACGAAGCAUUCAUCCCCUAUUUGUUUUCCAGCAUGAAAAAGAACUAAACAGAUUAAGAUUAUCAAAAAGGAAUAGAUUCCGAAUUGGAAGGUCCUUGAUAUUCGACACGGUACACAAGACUGUUUUAAACAAUAGCACUGCUAAUCAGGGUGCGGAGAAAGGUGAGCUUGAAUGGAUACGUUUAGCCGUAAGGAAUGACCCUCUGCAGGGAACGUCUACCUAUAGAUUCUGCGUACAGACGGGUAGAGCAAUACAUGCCAUAUGGCAAGGGCCUGCGGCAGUAUGGUUACCGUUCCUGAUCCCUUUAGCGAACUUUUGAUAACUUGACGAGAUAGCAUCUGCGUCUGGAUACGAGCAUCCCUGGAAGAGAAAUCGCGAUAAGACGGAAACGGCACGGCGGAGUGGUCGAGUCUACGCGCAGAGUCCGAUCGCGGAGAGAGAAACGACGUAAUAUAUAUUUCACGACGAAAUCGUUUCCACGAUCGCUACUGGAAGGAUAUAGCGCGGCGGGGUGAAAAUCGUGCCACGUGGCCCGCGGGUACUUCAGAAACAGGGGGAAACUCGGACCGUAUUACUGGCCCCGGCCCUGGCGAACGUGCCAUGCAGUAAACAUAUUCAACUUGGCAAGAGGAACGUAUACCGGAUAUAUUCGGACAUACGAGGAAGCCGGUUUAAGCGUGCCCGAAUAGUCCGAAGAUAAAAUCGCUCGAAUUAUCAGUACGAACAGACGCGAUGAAGAAAAGUCCAUCGCGUCGUGUCGCGUACCUACGUCACUGCGCUCGGUCAAUGCAUCAAUCCGGCCUGCAUCUGUAUGUAUUUACGCUAGACUGGCGGAGGCAGGAGGAAGAGGAGGAGAAGCAGGAGAGCAGCAAGGGGGAAACCCCUAUGUGACAUCAUCCCCCACACACGCUCGCCUGGCCGCUUCGUCUCGCUGGCUGACUUCUGUCGCCUAACUCCAAAACACCCCUGGACCCUGCCACCUCCCUUUACCUUUAAUCUUUAUCAAUCCAUCCAGCCGAGGCCGAAUCGAAAGCACGAACGUGCACGCACGGGAGACACAACGAUGUGCGGACGCCACCGCGCAUUAUUCACGGCCGAUAGCGCCUUCACCCUCGCCACGUCCACCUCUUUCACUGAGUUCCACCCUCCUCACCUCUGUUCUUCCAUUCCGCGAGCCCUUCGUAGUUCCCUGAACUUCGCGCCCUAAACAUCUCCUUUUCGACUUUUGUUCUUCACGAGAACAGCUUAAAUUGCUAAUUGAGUCAAUACUUUCUCAAUUUUUGCCGUCAACAUUCUCAUCUUCUUGAAUAAUUGUUAAUUGACACAAGAACAAGUGAUCGACAAUAUUGAUAUCGGAGUAGACAGUACUAACUUAGCCUGUUCUUUUUCACUGCACUAGUUUUUCUUUCUUCUCAGCCAUAUACCUGUUUCUUUUCAACUUCUUUCUUCUCAGCCAUAUACCUGUUUCUUUUCAAGUUCCACAAAUGUACACUGGUUCAAUAAAAAAGAACAGACUUAGUAAGUAGCCUCGUAACCCAGUAGCCACUAAUCAGAAGUAGCAUUACAUCAAUGUUAUAACCCCCAAUAUUGUAACUGUUACAACAUAUUAUAUAGCAUUUAUAUUAUUGAGAAAAAAUAAAAUUGAUGUAACGUUA